rnacentral:rRNA from 1 species
AGAGUUUGAUCCUGGCUCAGGAUGAACGCAGCGACAGGCUUAACACAUGCAAGUCGAGGGGCAGCAUAAAAGUAGCAAUACUUUGGUGGCGACCGGCGCACGGGUGAGUAACGCGUAUGCAACCUACCUAUCAGAGGGGAAUAACCCGGCGAAAGUCGGACUAAUACCGCAUAAAACAGGGACACCGCAUGGUGAUAUUUGUUAAAGAAAUUCGCUGAUAGAUGGGCAUGCGUUCCAUUAGGUAGUUGGUGAGGUAACGGCUCACCAAGCCGACGAUGGAUAGGGGAACUGAGAGGUUGGUCCCCCACACUGGUACUGAGACACGGACCAGACUCCUACGGGAGGCAGCAGUGAGGAAUAUUGGUCAAUGGGCGAGAGCCUGAACCAGCCAAGUCGCGUGAAAGGAAGAAGGAUCUAUGGUUCGUAAACUUCUUUUGCAGGGGAAUAAAGUGCAGGACGUGUCCUGUUUUGUAUGUACCCUGAGAAUAAGGAUCGGCUAACUCCGUGCCAGCAGCCGC